GACGAACGCUGGCGGCGUGCUUAACACAUGCAAGUCGAACGGAAAGGCCCUGCUUUUGUGGGGUGCUCGAGUGGCGAACGGGUGAGUAACACGUGAGUAACCUGCCCUUGACUUUGGUAUAACUUCAGGAAACUGGGGCUAAUACCGUAUAGGAGCUCCUGCUGCAUGGUGGGGGUUGGAAAGUUUCGGCGGUUGGGGAUGGACUCGCGGCUUAUCAGCUUGUUGGUGGGGUAGUGGCUUACCAAGGCUUUGACGGGUAGCCGGCCUGAGAGGGUGACCGGCCACAUUGGGACUGAGAUACGGCCCAGACUCCUACGGGAGGCAGCAGUGGGGAAUAUUGCACAAUGGGAGGAAGCCUGAUGCAGCAACGCCGCGUGCGGGAUGACGGCCUUCGGGUUGUAAACCGCUUUCGCCUGUGACGAAGCGUGAGUGACGGUAAUGGGUAAAGAAGCACCGGCUAACUACGUG
rnacentral:rRNA from 1 species